rnacentral:misc_RNA from 1 species
GAAGAGUUAUGACUAAAAUGCCAAGUAUGACUUCAUUUUACUUGGCUUACUGGAAUAUUAUGCAUAAAUACUUGUAUAUAUCCUUUCUAGCAUUUUUUAGAAUCCACCGUCUGAAAAUCCAUGUGAAUGCUUUUCUUUAUGGGGUGGGUCUUCCUGAGACUAGUCAACAUGUGUGCGUGUUUUAUUGAAAAUGUAAGUGCUGUACUCUGGACGUGCAUAAAAAGUCUUGAGAUCAACCGUUUGCUGUGGAAAAUAACUUGUCUGUUAGAAAACAUUUUCUGAAAAAAUAACUUAUUUUCCAUUGUUUGGUUGCAAUGCUGAAAAAUAAAGGGAAAUUAAUUUCUAUUUUUUUGGAGUGUACUGGAAAUUAUUAUUUUUCUUUCCAUUUAUAAUUAUAAACUACAAAAAUGUUUAGAUAGUAAAAAUUUCUUUUUUUUUUACUAAUUUAUUGUUGAAUAUGAGAAAAAUACAUAAAAAUCCAAAAUUAUGGCUGCCAUAACCCAUUGCCAGUGGCUUCCACAGGUCGUUAGUGACCGGUAGUGGCUGUCGGUGGUGAAGGACGAUCAGUAAACGAACGGGUGAAUGUUUUUGUCAUGCAUUUAUAAGUUUAUUAAAGUCCGGAAAAUGACUUUCUUGGAAAAUAAUUUCCUCUUAAGAAAUCAUUUUUCUUAAAAAUAGCUUAGUUUCCCUUUAGUUUGGAAAAUGUUUUCUGUUAACAAAUUUUCUUAAGUGGCGAGAGCCCUAAAUGUUGGAAAAUGCUGAAAAAUGUUUUUAAGGAAAAUAUGUUUCAUGAAACAAAUGGAGCCCAAGUAUGGUAAGUUGUUUAAGAGUAACUUCCUAGGGGAAUAGCUUAUGAAAAAUUCAACAGCAUGCUUGAGUGUUAUUCCCUUUGUGACAAGUUCUUGAUGAUGUUAUGGGAAAAAAACAGUUGUUUAAAUUCUCUUUACUUUUAAUAUAUCAUUUCGCAUGUGUCCUGAAUAACUCUUUUUUCCUAGCGUUUGUGCAUGAGCUGUUGAUGAAUGGUUCAUUGAUCUACAUUAAACUUAGACAGUUUUCAUAUGAUUGUGUGACAUUCAAGUUUAUCAGAAUACAUAAUGCUUUGAGUUUCUUUAUGCACAUGACUUGGAGAAUUUGAGUCAUGUUCAGCCUUUUGACCAAAAUUCAUGCGAGUGUCUUCUGUUGACUUUCCUAUUAACAUGUUGACAAUGUUGGUGACAUGAUUUAGCUUCUUCCAAGCAUAUCACACAAAUGCACUACGUAUUCCUGAUCCUUUGUUUUUUUGCUUGCAUUUCUUGGGGGUGGUCAUUGCUUCCUAAUAAAUAAAGAUAAACGAAAAGCAAGCACAGACAACUUGAUGCAGCAACCACCACUGAAGAAACUUGCGACAGAUGGUGCGACGAGUGUAAUGCAGGUGAACUCCACACAAGGGGCAAUAGGUGGAUACCCCAAGGCUGCUGCGGCUUCUAGCAUGGGUAUAUCAUUAAUGUCGCAUCAGUUGCCUACUGAAAACAUAUCAGGAAGCGACAGUGGUCUGGUGUUGAAAACGUCUACUAUGCUUGCACAGGCAU